GAGCUACAUCCGCAGCCCUGCACCGUAUUUUUCGAGCCUGCCUGUCUGUCGGCCACACCACCGGGAGACACACCGGGAGGACUCCAGGACUGCUGCAGGAAGCGGCCAGAACGACAGGACGGAAAAGAAAGAGUGUAAACACCAGAUACAGUGUUUCAUGUUCUAAAGAUACCGACCCGUGUAAGGAGAAGGAUGAAUCACAACAGAGAAGCAUCAGGCUGUAUAAAUAACACGGGGUUGUUGAAGUGCCCAGCUGUGGCUACUGUAAUUGGAGAAGUGAUUCCAUGCUGCCUCAGUCCUGGUUGGCAUCCUCAUGGAUCUGCUCUGCCUGUGUUCCUGGUCUCCAGCUCAGGGGAUGGCACACCUGCUCUCUCCUGUCCAGCUUCUCCUGCCCCACCUGACUUCUGGGAGAGUCACCCAGAGUGUGAGCACAGUCAGAUGCUUCAUAAUCGUGUUCAUGUUUUCCCACCUGAUGGCUGUGAGUCUGAUACUCACAGACCCUGUGAAUGCAGAUUCGGGAGCACCCAGCACUGUUCCAGUCACAGGGAAUCCCUGACUGAGGGGCUCUUGGACCCUGGAACCUGAGUGUGAACCCAUCCUGCCCCAAAUCUCUGUUGGCACAGCCCACCCACUGCUCUGCUCGGAGCCAGGAGAUGUCAGGGAGCAGACCCCACACACAGGCUUCCCGUCCCCCAGGCUGUCUCUCUCUCAUGCACACACACACACACACACACACACACACACACACACAACACCUGCUAACACGGUGCAGUCACCUGCCACAGAGGAAUCUGGGCCAUUUAUCUAAUGCCUCUGAGUUCCAGUUCCUCCUGGGCAGGACGAGGAUCUCAGGGCUGCUGUUCACCGCUCAGGGGACCAGGAGAGACUCGAACCUGGCUUGCAGUUGGCAGCAGUGGAAGAGACGUCAGCUCUUGUCCGUCCUCGAGGCCGCACUAUGCCCGCUUUAGAGCUGUCACUCACCCGCACCUUUGCUCCCGCCACCUCUCGGCUCCUUCCCCACCCACACCGCUCUGUCUCAAACUCUCUGUUUCUCCUCAUGUGAUCAGCCUCUAGUGGAGCGCAUUAGUUCACAGUAGGACGGCUUUGCAGGCUCUCUACUACCAGUUAUCAGUCCCUUCAAAUGGUCCUGAUAACCAGAAAUUAAAAAAUAGCCAUGUGUGGGGUAGCACAGCUAUGAUCAGUAUGCAGGAAGCAGAGGCAGGAGGAUCACAGUGAGCUUGAGAGCAGCCUGGACUACAGAGUUUAAGGCCAGCAUGGGCUACACGGUGAGACGUUUUCUCAAAAAAGAAAAAAGUCCCACACUAGGUCUUACAGUACAAUGUAGGGCCUCCGCCCAAACCUCCCAGUUUCUCUCCAGGAGGAAGGCAGAACUGCUGGGUGACCCCGGUGUGUGUUUGUCACUUUCUCACCCCUGGGAUAUGAAAGCGGACGUACACAGCUUACAGAAGAGUCUCGUUUGGCGCAUGGGUUUGGAGAAUGCAGUCCGUGGUCAGCUGGCAGCCAAGCAGGGAGGAAUGGGGAAGGGUCUGGCGGAGGAGAGCUGCUCACAUCAUGGUGACCAGGAAGCAGAGUGAGAAGGGAGGAGUCGGGGAGACUGUCACAUCCUCCCAGGUCACAUGGCUCGUGACCUCCUCCUCCAAACAGGCCUAGGCUCCAGCCACACAGUCAGCUGUGAACACCUGGGUGGAUUGAGCCACUGAUAAGCCAGGAUCCAGCACCUUCCAGAAGGUGACUCCCAGUUGGCUCAUCUCUGGAAGGGGCAGAGUCUCUGCCUGUUUUACCCAGGGCACAAGUGUAGCUCAGACAGGCUGAGACUCUUCUUCCAGUCCUGGGGUUAUGGAGCUCUGUGAGCCGUUCUUUGACCCUUUUUGAUGGUUGCUGGCCCCUUGUGGCUCAUGGCCACGCUGGCUGGGGUGCUGUCCCAGAGCUGUGCAUGCCUGACAUCUGGGCACCCUAACUUGUGUCCAGAGCUCCUGUGAUUUUUCCAUAAGGAUGGAGGCUGAGCUCAGCAUGGGGUUUUCGGUGGGGAUUGAGACUGAAGCACAGUUAGCAGCUCGGUUCCUCCGAGUUGGGGACCCAGAGCCAUCAGGUUCCAGCAGUGCAUGGUGCAGCUCACCUGCAGGCCAGGGGUGGACAGAAGCCCGGCCAGGUGGAAUCUCCUGGGCUUUAGCCAUGAAGCCACAUCUGGGGACCCAGGAACAAGGAGAGCCCUGAGAGGCUCCGAAUUCACGGGAAGCUUCAUCUCUACACAAAUAAACUGUCACAUGCUCACUUUGCUCACAGGCA